ensembl:lncRNA
GCAAGUCCUUUGCUCACAGCAGCUUCAUUUUAUUUAUUUCUUAAGAGAAGAAACUUCUCCUUUUCAAGGCAAAUUCUUUGCCCACUUAUACACUUGAGGAAAUCAGAGGAACAAGAGUUACCUACUUCAUAGGGCAGCUGCUGGCUUCAGAGAGGGAAGUGCUUAAAGUAGCUGGUGUGGCUCUGGGCAUGAGGUCACCUGCCACUGUUCCUGUGUCUUCUUAUCUCCUGCCUGUAGUCAUUAGCCCUGCUGUCUCCCUCGGCGUGUCCAGGACAGAAGCGGUUUAAUGCCACGAUGUGCAGGGCCUGUGUGCAGGCUCCAAGGGACAUCUUAGUAAUUAGUUUUAUAAUUGCUAGACCUCUGUUGGCUCCAGUAAACAACUGCUUGCCAUUUUAAAGCAUGGCUGAGUUAUAGAGAUGACUAGAUGUCGACAAGUGCGAGAAUUAUGUGGCACCAGUGAUAUAUAACACCUCUGGUUUCCCUCUGCAUAAUCGGCCAGCUCUUCCUGCUCCAUCCUAACAAACUGGGAGAAGGUCUGCUCAUGGGGCCAGAGAACAAGUCUCCCUUGAUCACAGCCACUGGGAGAACACAUUG